rnacentral:rRNA from 1 species
UAGGGAAUAUUGCACAAUGGACGAAAGUCUGAUGCAGCGACGCCGCGUGAGUGAUGAAGGCCUUCGGGUCGUAAAGCUCUGUCGUAUGGGACUAACACAAUGAAGGUACCAUGCAAGAAAGGAUCGGCUAACUUCGUGCCAGCAGCCGCGGUAAGACGAGGGAUCCUAGCGUUGUUCGGAAUUAUUGGGCGUAAAGCGGGUGUAGGCGGCUUUAUAAGUCAGGUGUGAAAGCCCAGGGCUCAACCCUGGAAGUGCACUUGAUACUGUAAAGCUUGAAUGUGGUAGAGGUUACUGGAAUUGCUGGUGUAGUGGUGAAAUACGUAGAUAUCAGCAGGAAUACCGGAGGCGAAGGCGGGUAACUGGGCCAACAUUGACGCUGAGACCCGAAAGCGUGGGGAUCAAACAGGAUUAGAUACCCCCGUAGUCCCUGAGCGGGCUGGCAAGGCGCAU